rnacentral:lncRNA from 1 species
CAUGUGUUUGAUAACUGGAAAGAUGGUGGAAUAUCCAAUAGAUGAAUGUAAAUUGAUAGAUAUGACAAUAAUUGAUAACAUUUCAUUCAUGAAAAGAAUUAAUGGAGAUUACAUAAACUGCCCUCAACAGGUAAUUAGCAGUCCCUAUUUUAAUUAUUUGAUAUUAUAAUAAAAGGCUGUAAGAGAGUUGCUGCCUUAUUAUUU